GCUCCGGUGGCUUAGUGGUUAGAGCGUCAACCUCAGAUGUGGGAGGUCGUGGGUUCGAUCCCAGGUCGAGUCA